rnacentral:rRNA from 1 species
AUGCACGCUGGCGGCGUGCCUAAUACAUGCAAGUCGAGCGAACAGACGAGGAGCUUGCUCCUCUGACGUUAGCGGCGGACGGGUGAGUAACACGUGGAUAACCUACCUAUAAGACUGGGAUAACUUCGGGAAACCGGAGCUAAUACCGGAUAAUAUAUUGAACCGCAUGGUUCAAUAGUGAAAGACGGUUUUGCUGUCACUUAUAGAUGGAUCCGCGCCGCAUUAGCUAGUUGGUAAGGUAACGGCUUACCAAGGCAACGAUGCGUAGCCGACCUGAGAGGGUGAUCGGCCACACUGGAACUGAGACACGGUCCAGACUCCUACGGGAGGCAGCAGUAGGGAAUCUUCCGCAAUGGGCGAAAGCCUGACGGAGCAACGCCGCGUGAGUGAUGAAGGUCUUCGGGUCGUAAAACUCUGUUAUUAGGGAAGAACAAAUGUGUAAGUAACUAUGCACGUCUUGACGGUACCUAAUCAGAAAGCCACGGCUAACUACGUG